AGACGUCCUGCGGUUGAAGUCCUACCUGCUUUUUUGCGCCUCCUCUCGGGUGUUCCCUGCCGUUUAGGUGCCGCGAAGACCUAUGGUACGCUGCCUAAGCCACUGCAUUACAAACCUUAGUGUUUCCGGUAGUUGGGAAGCAUUUGGCACGGGCUCUGUCUCAUGGAAUCAAAGAAAUACAGUAAACGAUUCAUGUCCUGAACCCUGGAAACUUUCUGUGUUGUAUCUGUCUCAGCCAUUUUAAAAACUCCACAUGGAGAAAGGUCUUUAGGUUUGGAAUACUACAUUAAAGAGAGAAGAUCUUCACCCCAACCUUGACAAGACAUCUACAUCUCCUUUUGAAGUUGACAAUAUAAAAACCUAAUUAGAACAAAGAAACUUUAAAGAAGCUAUGCAUUCAAGCUUGAAAGAACUCAUCAUCAUCAUCAUCAUCAUCUGUGUUCUUAAACAAGGUAUCCUUAAAUAAGUCUCAUUUAUAAUACAUUUUCUUCUUUUUGUUAAUGUUGGUUUUACUGUGUAUUAAUUUUGGUACAUUGCGAUGGCGAUUAAAAGUAUAGUGCUAAGAGAAGGUACAGCAGAUCAUUUCUAUAGUCCCUCAGGGGUUAGCAGCUAAAAAGGGGUGGCUUUAAUGGGAAAAAGCAUGGUGUGCAGGCACCUGCUUUAGUAAGUGGUACAAGUAUUGAGUGAUGUUCAAGUUUGAUCUGCUUCUGCCAAGCUAGUAAAUCUUUUUGCUUUAGGCAAGCUAUCCAUGUGCCAGUAAAGCCAUAAAUUUGGGAUGAUGUUGAGCAGCUAUACCAGAGUCUAAUUUUUCCUUAAUGCAGAUGUCCACAUGCAGGUAAAGCUGUAUGCUUAUGGUGCUGUAAAGCAGCUACUCUACCAAAAUAACAAAUAGGUUAACUUGAUAGGUACAUGAUAAUACAACGUUAUUAAAGAAAUUCCAAACUGCUAUCCAUUUUUAAAGAGGAGUGAUGGUCAAUUGUAAAAUGCAAGAUUCUGGUCUAUAGGUCUAGGCCUAGGAUGCCAUAACUAAGAAAAAGAGCAAUACCAGAUUGGUACAUCUGUUGUCUAUUUCAAGUACAAAUUCAGUUCAAAUUUACUGUUGCCUGUACAAAGUAUAGUAAAAUUCUUACUUGCAUGUCUAACCAGCAUGCAUCUUCUUGUCACUCUCUGGUACUAUGAUCAGCAUAUACCACUAUUCAAAUGUAAACCUUACCUUAAAACCUCUGGAUUCUUCUUUUCUCAUAUGGGAUUUUAUCAAUAAAACAUAAUAAAAAGUUAAUAUUAUGCAAUUUGUAAAAUAAAUAACCUUUAAACAAAGCAACUUUGAAUGUGUUACCAGCAAAAGGGUUUAAAAGAAUAAACUAUCUUUUCCUGAUGUUCAACCCCAGAGGGACACAGUGAGUGCAAGUUUUUUCUCAACUUAAUUGUAUUUUUUGGCUUGUUUGUGUCUUCACUGUCCCAUGUCAGGUCAUUCCCAUAUAGUAGACUUUUCAUUUCUAAGGCUAUCUAUCAUUCAAAAGAUGUGUACACCAGAGCAGAUUAAUCAUUUUCAGCUCUCUACUUUUUCUCUUCUAUUUCAUUCCAGAUAUUUUAUUAAAACAGAUAAUUUGACAAACACAUUUAUGAUCAUGUGAAAAAGUAAGUGCACCCCAUUGAAACUUGACUUUUUCAACAUAUUUGAACAAAGUUUAGAUCUUCGUGCAGCCAGUGGCUACAGACAAUGGUGAUAUCAUCAUCAUUCUCUUUA